rnacentral:snoRNA from 1 species
AAGACUAUACUUUCAGGGAUCAUUUCUAUAGUUUGUAACUGGUGAAAUGUGCUCGAAAGUGUCAAUCUCAGUAACCACGAUGAGGAGCUGGUGCUGCAUUACUGUAGCUGCCUUGUGCAGUUGAUGAUCGUUCUUCUCUUUUCAUGGAGAGGUGGAGGGAGAUAACACAAGCUGAGUGGU